rnacentral:rRNA from 1 species
GAUGAACGCUGGCGGCGUGCUUAACACAUGCAAGUCGAACGGAAAGGCUCCUGCUUGCAGGGGUACUCGAGUGGCGAACAGGUGAGUAACACGUGGGUGAUCUGCCCUGCACUUCGGGAUAAGCCUGGGAAACUGGGUCUAAUACCGGAUAGGACCACAUUUUGGAUGGUGUGGUGGAAAGUUUUUCGGUGUGGGAUGAGCUCGCGGCCUAUCAGCUUGUUGGUGGGGUAAUGGCCUACCAAGGCGUCGACGGGUAGCCGGCCUGAGAGGGUGUACGGCCACAUUGGGACUGAGAUACGGCCCAGACUCCUACGGGAGGCAGCAGUGGGGAAUAUUGCACAAUGGGCGCAAGCCUGAUGCAGCGACGCCGCGUGGGGGAUGACGGCCUUCGGGUUGUAAACUCCUUUCGCUAGGGACGAAGCGCAAGUGACGGUACCUGGAGAAGAAGCACCGGCUAACUACGUG